rnacentral:rRNA from 1 species
GUGAGGAAUAUUGGUCAAUGGGCGCAAGCCUGAACCAGCGACGCCGCGUGGGUGAAGAAGGCCUUCGGGUCGUAAAGCCCUUUUCUGUGUGAAGAGAGAGGACGGUAGCACAGGAAUAAGCGUCGGCUAACUACGUGCCAGCAGCCGCGGUAAAACGUAGGACGCAAGCGUUAUCCGGAAUUACUGGGCGUAAAGGGCGUGCAGGCGGUUCCUUAAGUUAGGCGUGAAAGCUCUGGGCUAAACCUGGAGAGGUCGUCUGAUACUGGGGGACUAGAGUGUGGUAGAGGGGUGUAGAAUUCCGGGUGUAGUGGUGAAAUGCGUAGAUAUCCGGAGGAAUACCAGUGGCGAAGGCGGCACCCUGGGCCAUAACUGACGCUAAGACGCGAAAGCAUGGGUAGCGAACGGGAUUAGAAACCCCAGUAGUCC